GACGAACGCUGGCGGCGUGCUUAACACAUGCAAGUCGAACGGUAAGGCCCUUCGGGGUACACGAGUGGCGAACGGGUGAGUAACACGCGGGUGAUCUGCCCUGCACUUCGGGAUAAGCCUGGGAAACUGGUCUAAUACCGGAUAGGACCCUGGGAUGCAUGUCCUGGGGUGGAAAGCUUUUGCGGUGUGGGAUGGGCCCGCGGCCUAUCAGCUUGGUGGUGGGGUGAUGGCCUACCAAGGCGACGACGGGUAGCCGGCCUGAGAGGGUGACCGGCCACACUGGGACUGAGAUACGGCCCAGACUCCUACGGGAGGCAGCAGUGGGGAAUAUUGCACAAUGGGCGCAAGCCUGAUGCAGCGACGCCGCGUGAGGGAUGACGGCCUUCGGGUUGUAAACCUCUUUCAGCACCGACGAAGCGCAAGUGACGGUAGGUGCAGAAGAAGGACCGGCCAACUACGUGCCAGCAGCCGCAGUAA
rnacentral:rRNA from 1 species